CCUACGGGAGGCAGCAGUGGGGAAUAUUGCGCAAUGGGGGCAACCCUGACGCAGCAACGCCGCGUGAUUGAAGAAGGCCUUCGGGUUGUAAAGAUCUUUAAUUGGGGACGAAACAAAUGACGGUACCCAAAGAAUAAGCUCCGGCUAACUACGUGCCAGCAGCCGCGGUAAUACGUAGGGAGCAAGCGUUAUCCGGAUUUACUGGGUGUAAAGGGCGAGUAGGCGGGCUGGCAAGUUGGGAGUGAAAUCCCGGGGCUUAACCCCGGAACUGCUUUCAAAACUGCUGGUCUUGAGUGAUGGAGAGGCAGGCGGAAUUCCGUGUGUAGCGGUGAAAUGCGUAGAUAUACGGAGGAACACCAGUGGCGAAGGCGGCCUGCUGGACAUUAACUGACGCUGAGGAGCGAAAGCGUGGGGAGCAAACAGGAUUAGAUACCCCAGUAGUC
rnacentral:rRNA from 1 species